rnacentral:misc_RNA from 1 species
UUUCCGUAGGUGAACCUGCGGAAGGAUCAUUAUUGUAUAACCGAGGUGCGAGGGCUGUCGCUGACCCGAAAGGUCGUGCACGCCCGAGUGCCCUCACACACAUCCAUCCCAGCCCUAUGUGCACCACCGCGUGGGUCCCCCUUUGGCUUGUUCGGAGGGGGGCUUACGUUUUCACACAAACUUUGUAUGCAGUGUAGAAUGUAUUUUUUGUUUUUGCGAUCACGCAAUCAAUACAACUUUCAACAACGGAUCUCUUGGCUCUC